CGGGUCUAUCAUGCAAGUCGAGCGAACUGAUUAGAAGCUUGCUUCUAUGACGUUAGCGGCGGACGGGUGAGUAACACGUGGGCAACCUGCCUGUAAGACUGGGAUAACUUCGGGAAACCGAAGCUAAUACCGGAUAGGAUCUUCUCCUUCAUGGGAGAUGAUUGAAAGAUGGUUUCGGCUAUCACUUACAGAUGGGCCCGCGGUGCAUUAGCUAGUUGGUGAGGUAACGGCUCACCAAGGCAACGAUGCAUAGCCGACCUGAGAGGGUGAUCGGCCACACUGGGACUGAGACACGGCCCAGACUCCUACGGGAGGCAGCAGUAGGGAAUCUUCCGCAAUGGACGAAAGUCUGACGGAGCAACGCCGCGUGAGUGAUGAAGGCUUUCGGGUCGUAAAACUCUGUUGUUAGGGAAGAACAAGUACAAGAGUAACUGCUUGUACCUUGACGGUACCUAACCAGAAAGCCACGGCUAACUACGUGCCAGCAGCCGCGGUAAUACGUAGGUGGCAAGCGUUAUCCGGAAUUAUUGGGCGUAAAGCGCGCGCAGGCGGUUUCUUAAGUCUGAUGUGAAAGCCCACGGCUCAACCGUGGAGGGUCAUUGGAAACUGGGGAACUUGAGUGCAGAAGAGAAAAGCGGAAUUCCACGUGUAGCGGUGAAA
rnacentral:rRNA from 1 species